rnacentral:lncRNA from 1 species
UUAUAUUUUGUAGGUAGACAUUCCAAGAUAAAGUUAAAUCCCCCAUGUCAGCCCAUAAAAUUCUUUUUAUUUCAGCCAAAGCCCACUCCACUUACCCACCAUUUAAACCAAUCCAAUACCCAAACUAACCUAUUAACCAAAACCCAAACCCAUCAUACCUACCCAAAUUCAAACCCAAAAAUAAUACCUAAAUUUACACCACCAACCGUCCACCCCUUUUUCAAAUUUAAAAAAAUACCUUAACCUUUCACCCAUCAAAUCCUAAUCUUUCACCUAUCACAUCCAUCUUUUCACCUAGAAAACUACAACUCCACUACCCCAUUUUAACUCACCACUUUCCCUCCCAACCGUCCACUCUUCUCAAACAAAUUAAAAUAAAAAACUUUCACCCAUCCAAUCCCAAGCCUUCACCUAUCACAUCCUACCUUUCUUUUCACCUAGGAAAAACCACAACGCAAUUACGCUCCAUUUGACCGGCCAUGUUAACAAAAUAAACUAAAACCCCUUUUUCAAAUACUACCAUCUUUCUUCUUACUAAAUUCCUUCCUUUACCAUCCUCAAAACCACCACCCAACGCCUCUUUCUUUCGAACCAACCACCCAC